rnacentral:rRNA from 1 species
GAGUUUGAUCCUGGCUCAGGAUUAAACGCUAGCGGGAUGCUUUACACAUGCAAGUCGAAAGGCAGCACGGACUUCGGGUCUGGUGGUGGAGUGGCGAACGGGUGAGUAAUGUAUCGGAACGUGCCUAGUAGGGGGGGAAGAACUACGCGAAAGCGUGGCUAAUACCGCAUACGCCCUGCGGGGGAAAGGGGGGGGUCGCAAGACCUCUCACGAUUAGAGCGGCCGAUAUCGGAUUAGCUAGUUGGUAGGGUAAAGGCCUACCAAGACAGUGAUCCGUAGCUGGUUUGAGAGGACGACCAGCCACACUGGGACUGAGACACGGCCCAGACUCCUACGGGAGACAGCAGUGGGGAAUUUUGGACAAUGGGGGAAACCCUGAUCCAGCCAUCCCGCGUGUGCGAUGAAGGCCUUCGGGUUGUAAAACACUUUUGGCAGGGAAGAAACGGCGCCGGAUAAUACUCGGCGUCGCUGCCGGUAAGUGCAGAAUAAGCACCGGCUAACUACGGGGGGCCUUUUAUGUUAAUACGAAGCCGAAUCCAGCACGCGUGGCGGCACAGAUGACUAGUGAUCGCGAGCUGCGUG